CCUCAGUACCACAUACACAGAAAGGCCUGAAGUGGUGCUGUGGCUCAAGUGGGACAGUGCCCAGGCCCUGAGUUCAAGCCCCAGGACUGUCACACACAAAAAAAUUACUGUAGGAUUUAAAAACUGCAGAAUUUCAAAAUGUUUAUAAAACCUUCUUUUUUAUAUUUUUAGUUAAUACAGUGAAUCUGUAGUUUUCUAAGGGGACCAGAUUAAGAUCUAAACAUGGACAUUGCAUUUUAUUAAGAGGAGAUGAAAAUGGUGGGAAGUGGAUGGGACUGCAAGUCUGUGACGUGGAUAAUCACUGUAAAUUAAAGCACCAAAUGCUGACUUCUAUCACUGUGUACUUUGGAGCUGGGCUUUGGAUUUGGCUGUUAUUUUAACUCAGAUACUGUGUAAUAAUGAUAAGCAAAAGGCAAAUAAAGUUU